rnacentral:sRNA from 1 species
GCAACGCCGUGCGUCUCAUCACACGCGCAGACGUCGCU